GACGAACGCUGGCGGCGUGCUUAACACAUGCAAGUCGAACGGAAAGGCCCUGCUUUUGUGGGGUGCUCGAGUGGCGAACGGGUGAGUAACACGUGAGUAACCUGCCCUUGACUUUGGGAUAACUUCAGGAAACUGGGGCUAAUACCGGAUAGGAGCUCCUGCUGCAUGGUGGGGGUUGGAAAGUUUCGGCGGUUGGGGAUGGACUCGCGGCUUAUCAGCUUGUUGGUGGGGUAGUGGCUUACCAAGGCUUUGACGGGUAGCCGGCCUGAGAGGGUGACCGGCCACAUUGGGACUGAGAUACGGCCCAGACUCCUACGGGAGGCAACAGUGGGGAAUAUUGCACAAUGGGCGGAAGCCUGAUGCAGCAACGCCGCGUGCGGGAUGACGGCCUUCGGGUUGUAAACCGCUUUCGCCUGUGACGAAGCGUGAGUGACGGUAAUGGGUAAAGAAGCACCGGCUACUACGUG
rnacentral:rRNA from 1 species